AUUGAACGCUGGCGGCAUGCUUUACACAUGCAAGUCGAACGGCAGCGCGGGCUUCGGCCUUGCGGCGAGUGGCGAACGGGUGAGUAAUGCAUCGGAACGUGCCCAGUCGUGGGGGAUAGCCCGGCGAAAGCCGGAUUAAUACCGCAUACGACCUGAGGGUGAAAGCGGGGGACCGAAAGGCCUCGCGCUAUUGGAGCGGCCGAUGUCGGAUUAGCUAGUUGGUGGGGUAAAGGCUUACCAAGGCGACGAUCCGUAGCUGGUCUGAGAGGACGACCAGCCACACUGGGACUGAGACACGGCCCAGACUCCUACGGGAGGCAGCAGUGGGGAAUUUUGGACAAUGGGGGCAACCCUGAUCCAGCCAUGCCGCGUGCGGGAAGAAGGCCUUCGGGUUGUAAACCGCUUUUGUUCGGGAAGAAAUCCUCUGGGCUAAUACCCCGGGGGGAUGACGGUACCGGAAGAAUAAGCACCGGCUAACUACGUG
rnacentral:rRNA from 1 species